UACGAAGGGGGCUAGCGUUGUUCGGAUUUACUGGGCGUAAAGCGCACGUAGGCGGAUCGUUAAGUCGGGGGUGAAAUCCUGGAGCUCAACUCCAGAACUGCCUUCGAUACUGGCGAUCUUGAGUCCGGAAGAGGUGAGUGGAACUCCUAGUGUAGAGGUGGAAUUCGUAGAUAUUAGGAAGAACACCAGUGGCGAAGGCGGCUCACUGGUCCGGUACUGGACGCUGAGGUGCGAAAGCGUGGGGAGCAACAGGGAUUAAGAAACCC
rnacentral:rRNA from 1 species